GUGAAUUUUAGGGUGCUCUCUGGUCUUUUAACAAGUCAGAGAGGCCUGACCUCCACUCUCCAACUCUGUGCACUUUUCGGCAUCGUAGUGUUAUUGUCCUAGUGACAAAAACACUUGAUGCGGCUCUUUUUAAACAUGAGUUAAAGAAUGUAAACAAACCAUAACAAAA
rnacentral:misc_RNA from 1 species